rnacentral:rRNA from 1 species
AUGAACGAGGAUAUUGUACAGUGGCGUUUUACAGGGUUUUAUGGUCGUCCGAGCUGGAGUGAGCGUAGUUUGUCCUGGGAUGAUAUUCGGAAUUUACAUUGUAAGGGCAAACACCCAUGGGUAGUCUUGGGUGAUUUUAAAGAAAUUUUACUUUCUUCUGAAAAAGAGGGCGGUAACGCUAGACCUAACGCUAUGAUGAGAGAUUUUCGUAAUUGUUUGCAAGAGUGCGGUCUAGAGGAUAUGGGAUGUAUUGGCGAUCUAUUCACUUGGAGAAGAGGCGCAAUUAGGGAGAGACUUGACCGUGCAGUUUGCAAUGUGGAUUGGGCGAAUAAAUUUCCUCGGGCUGCGAUUAUAAAUGAAGAACACGUACACUCUGAUCAUCGACCCCUCAUC